UAGGGAAUCUUCCGCAAUGGGCGAAAGCCUGACGGAGCAACGCCGCGUGAGUGAUGAAGGUCUUCGGAUCGUAAAACUCUGUUAUUAGGGAAGAACAAAUGUGUAAGUAACUAUGCACGUCUUGACGGUACCUAAUCAGAAAGCCACGGCUAACUACGUGCCAGCAGCCGCGGUAAUACGUAGGUGGCAAGCGUUAUCCGGAAUUAAUGGGCGUAAAGCGCGCGUAGGCGGUUUUUUAAGUCUGAUGUGAAAGCCCACGGCUCAACCGUGGAGGGUCAUUGGAAACUGGAAAACUUGAGUGCAGAAGAGGAAAGUGGAAUUCCAUGUGUAGCGGUGAAAUGCGCAGAGAUAUGGAGGAACACCAGUGGCGAAGGCGACUUUCUGGUCUGUAACUGACGCUGAUGUGCGAAAGCGUGGGGAUCAAACAGG
rnacentral:rRNA from 1 species